rnacentral:rRNA from 1 species
UACGGGGGGAGCAAGCGUUGUUCGGAAUUACUGGGCGUAAAGGGCUCGUAGGUGGCCAACUAAGUCAGACGUGAAAUCCCUCAGCUUAACUGGGGAACUGCGUCUGAUACUGGAUGGCUUGAGUUUGGGAGAGGGAUGCGGAAUUCCAGGUGUAGCGGUGAAAUGCGUAGAUAUCUGGAGGAACACCGGUGGCGAAGGCGGCAUCCUGGACCAACACUGACACUGAUGAGCGAAAGCCAGGGGAGCAAACGGG